CUAGCCGUAAACGAUGGAUACUAGGUGUGGGUGUCGCAGGGCAUCCGUGCCGCAGUUAACGCGUUAAGUAUCCCGCCUGGGGACUACGGUCGCAAGACUGAAACUCAAAGGAAUUGACGGGGGCCCGCACAAGCGGUGGAGCACGUGGUUUAAUUCGAUGCAAACCGAAGAACCUUACCUAGGCUUGACAUACAAGUGGUAGUGAAGUGAAAGCUUAACGACCUUGCAGUAAUGUAAGGAGCUUGAACAGGUGC
rnacentral:rRNA from 1 species